CCCGGGUCUUGUACACACCGCCCGUCACACCAUGGGAGCGGGUUCUGCCAGAAGUAGUUAGCCUAACCGCAAGGAGGGCGAUUACCACGGCAGGGUUCGUGACCGGGGUG
rnacentral:rRNA from 1 species